CCUACGGGGCGCAGCAGUGAGGAAUAUUGGUAAAUGGGCGGAAGCCUGAACCAGCCAAGUCGCGUGAGGGAAUAAGGCCCUACGGGUCGUAAACCUCUUUUGCCGGGGAGCAAGGGCCGGGACGCGUCCCGGCCCGGAGAGUACCCGGAGAAAAAGCAUCGGCUAACUCCGUGCCAGCAGCCGUGGUAAUACGGAGGAUGCGAGCGUUAUCCGGCUUUAUUGGGUUUAAAGGGUGCGUAGGCGGGCUUUUAAGUCAGCGGUAAAAAUUCGGGGCUCAACCCCGUUCGGCCGUUGAAACUGGGGGG
rnacentral:rRNA from 1 species